UCGCCUCCUUGUUACUAGAUUUCUCUAGAGUUUCAUCACGACAAGAUGCAUAAUUUAAGUUACAACAGCUUCAGCUUGUAUUGUUCUAAUCCCAAAAUGGUUAUGUCGAAGAUGUUAUUUCUGUACAUCUACUGCCUCAUGACAUGUUAUGAUGCCAAAACUUUUGUAUUGAAUGAAUCUCGUGUACUUCAAAUUUCCUGUUACUUUCUGUUCUCAAACGUACUUAAAAGCAUAAACGAAGAAGAAAUGCAGGUAAUCAUCGCUCCAGAAUAUUUUGCUCUUAUAUAUGUAACGUAAUUUCUUAUUUCUAUUUCUUUCCCGCUCCAUCUUCCUCCCAUUAAAUCUCCGUCAAAUCAUUGUGGGCGUUUUACCAGAUCAUCAUAUUUGGUGACUGCCCCUCCUCUUCUCUCCUAGUCCUCCUUUCUCCAGUCGCUAAUGAAGCUCGCUAGUUCGCCAACUUCCGCCUACCUUUGAUGAUAAACUCGAAACCAAGUUCAGCCAGGUCUCUCUAUAUUUCUCUCCUUUUGCUUAUGUAUGUAUAGAUAUUUGUUUGGAUCUACAAUUUCGCUGUUGGUUUUGUGAUGCUUUGUCACUUUAUUUGUUAGAUCUGCUCUUAGCUUGCCUUUUUUAUAGAGGUUUUAUGUAUCUGAUGUUGUAAGGAACCUAUAUUAUUAUAACUGAAAUUUUCUAAAAGUCCUUUAGAAAUGUAAGAAACCCUAGUUAGUUGUUCAAAGAUAUACUAGCGAAAUCUGUACAGAGGAUUGUGUAGCGGUCCUAACUAAUUUAGGAUCGAGGCUUAGUUAAUGAUUAAAUCAAGAGCUCUGUUGUGUAAUGGUCAUAUUUACUGCUAUAUAUCCUUAUGCAAGAUAUGGAAUUCUGCUUGUUGAAGAAUUGAAUUAGUUUGCUUGGAUUAAUUAUAGUAUUAUUUGGAAUGGUACUGUAGUUUUUCUUACUAUACGAACCUGUUAAUUAAUUUUUUAGAUGGGUGGCUGUGAAAUUGUUGUUGUGAGAGAUAUGGUGAAGUCUUCGUAGUCGCUAGAAUGGUUGGGCUUCUCUGCUUGGUGAGGCAUUUACUAGUUUUAUACUUAAUGAUCUUCAUCUUUCGUAUUUAAUGCACUAUGAAUUAACUUGAUUGAUAAGCUUUACUUCCUGUAGGUUUGUAAUAACUUUUUGUUGAUUUUCUGAAGAUGUUCUAGUAAAAUGAACUUGCUAUUUUUGUUGCUCUUUUGUGUAUGUUGGAGUUAGUCCCUCCAUCUGAUUAUACAUUAUACCUUUUUCCCGUCAUCUGUUCUUCAUUUCGUGUGAUUAUCAUUUGAUUCUUGUUUUACUGAUAUCAGAUUAGGAUUUCUUGGGAUGAAAUUUUUCCUUAAAGGUUGGUCUUUUUGAUUAGAUUUGGUCAAUGGUAAUUUUUUAUCAUCGUUUGUACAAAUGACUCUGGUUUUCUCUAUUAGAGAGUAUAGUAUGCAUUCUAUCUUAAUUCCAUGUAAUUUGGAGUAGAGAGAAUUUUUCUUUUAUAUCCUUCUAGUUGAAAUCUGAUUUCCUUGUUUAAUUUUGUUCUGCAGGCAUUGUAUUGAAGGGGUGGUUCAUCACCUAAUAUUCCAAGAAAAUUGCCAGUACUUAUUAAAUA
rnacentral:lncRNA from 1 species